ensembl:lncRNA
CCUACAGUGUUGUCUAGAGACUCAGUUUUGCUGAUGCAAUUAGAGCAGCGAUAGAAAAUAAUUUUUAAAGAUUAAAAUCACAACGUGGCUUAAUGAAGAGUAUGGAGCAGUUUCUUAUCAUUGUGCUUGUGGCAGGGGGAAUUCAUGCUCACGUUUCAGUUGAUGAGACUACAUGUGACCUCAGGACGAACACAUGCCCAUGCUCUCCUCUUCUUAAAGGAACUGUGUAUAUCCAAGUGAUGACUGAUGCUAGUGGCCGUGAAAUGAAGUGUUUGAAGGUGCUUCCCAUGGUGAACAUAACUGUGUUCAAUAUAAAGAAAGAAAAAAUAACAACAGACAAGGAAUUGAACAACAGACUACAGUUUAUAAUCAAGAACGGGACACUCAAGAUCACAAACCUGAGGAGGAAUGAUUCAGGUCAAUACAGCAUUGAGGUCUUUAAUUCAAAUGGAGUCCAAGAGAAAAACAUUCAUUUCACGCUGGAUGUUAAAGCUCUCGUUCCAAUUGAUGAGACUACAUGUGACCUCAGGACGAACACAUGCCCAUGCUCUCC